AUGAAAAGAGAAGUCAACACAUUCUCCGGAACACAACCACAAGAGUUAGAUAAAACUUGUGUUUCAAGGACUUUGUCAGCUCUGAAGUUGAUGGUAGAGAUGCUGUUUCAGUCCCAUAGCAUCAAGUUGGAAAUUGACACAAGGAAUUCUAUAUACCAACCAUGGAUAUUCUCAGCCUCCAAUAGCAUUCACAACGUAUCUGAUUGGAUAGUUUUAUGUUACAAAUUUUAA